rnacentral:rRNA from 1 species
UACGUAGGGCGCAAGCGUUGUCCGGAAUUAUUGGGCGUAAAGAGCUCGUAGGUGGUUUGUUACGUCUGCUGUGAAAACCUAGGGCUUAACCCUGGGCCUGCAGUGGAUACGGGCAGACUAGAGGUAGGUAGGGGAGAAUGGAAUUCCCGGUGUAGCGGUGAAAUGCGCAGAUAUCGGGAGGAACACCGGUGGCGAAGGCGGUUCUCUGGGCCUUUCCUGACGCUGAGACGCGAAAGCGUGGGGAGCGAACCGG